rnacentral:rRNA from 1 species
GGGAGCUUGCUCCUUGAUUCAGCGGCGGACGGGUGAGUAAUGCCUAGGAAUCUGCCUGGUAGUGGGGGACAACGUUUCGAAAGGAACGCUAAUACCGCAUACGUCCUACGGGAGAAAGCAGGGGACCUUCGGGCCUUGCGCUAUCAGAUGAGCCUAGGUCGGAUUAGCUAGUUGGUGGGGUAAUGGCUCACCAAGGCGACGAUCCGUAACUGGUCUGAGAGGAUGAUCAGUCACACUGGAACUGAGACACGGUCCAGACUCCUACGGGAGGCAGCAGUGGGGAAUAUUGGACAAUGGGCGAAAGCCUGAUCCAGCCAUGCCGCGUGUGUGAAGAAGGUCUUCGGAUUGUAAAGCACUUUAAGUUGGGAGGAAGGGCAGUAAGCUAAUACCUUGCUGUUUUGACGUUACCGACAGAAUAAGCACCGGCUAACUCUGUGCCAGCAGCCGCGGUAAUACAGAG